GUGCUCACUUCGGCAGCACAUAUACUAAAAUUGGAACGAUACAGAAAAGAUUAGCAUGGCCCCAGUGCAAGGAUGACAUGCAAAUUUGUGAAGCGUUCCAUAUUUUU
rnacentral:snRNA from 1 species